GCCUAGCCUUAAACCUAGAUAGAAAAAUACCACCUAUCCGCCAGAGAACUACAAGCAAAAUACUUAAAACUCAAAGGACUUGGCGGCAUUCCAUAUCAACCUAGAGGAGCCCGUCCAAUAAUCGAUAAUACACGCUCAACCCCACCACUUUUGGCCACUCCAGCCUAUAUACCGCCGUCGUCAGCUAACCUUGUGAAAGAAAAGUAGUAAGCACAAUAGCCCUCGCUAGAACGUCAGGUCAAGGUGUAGCUAAUAAAGUGGAUGUGAUAGGCUACAUUUUCUACUAUAGAAAACACGGAAAAUACAAUGAAACUUUGUAAUUAAAGGUGAAUUUAGAAGUAAAAUAAGAAAGUGCCCUUAUUUUAAUACCGCCCUGGAAUGCGCACACACCGCCCGUCACCCUCCUCGAAAUAAACCAGAUGAGGUAAGUCGUAACAUGGUAAGCGUACUGGAAAGUGCGCUUGGAUU
rnacentral:rRNA from 1 species